rnacentral:rRNA from 1 species
GCAAGCGUUAUCCGGAAUUACUGGGCGUAAAGCGCGCGCAGGCGGAUGUUUAAGUAGGGCGUGAAAUCUCCCGGCCUAACUGGGAGGGGUCGCUCUAGACUGGGCGUCUUGAGGACUGCAGAGGUGGGUGGAAUUCCGGGUGUAGCGGUGGAAUGCGUAGAGAUCCGGAAGAACACCGGUGGCGAAGGCGGUCUGCUGGGCAGUUGCUGACACUGAGGAGCGAAAGCGUGGGGAGCAAACAGG